rnacentral:rRNA from 1 species
GACGAACCGUGCGAACGUUAUUCGGAAUCACUGGGCGUAAAGCGCAUGUAGGCGGAUCCAUAAGUCGGGCGUGAAAUCCCCAGGCUCAACCUGGGAACUGCGCUCGAAACUGUGGGUCUUGAGUGUCGGAGAGGAUGGCGGAAUUCCUGGUGUAGAGGUGAAAUUCGUAGAUAUCAGGAGGAACACCGGUGGCGAAGGCGGCCAUCUGGACGACAACUGACGCUGAGAGUGC